UUGAACGCUGGCGGCAUGCCUUACACAUGCAAGUCGAACGGUAGAGGGGCAACCCUUGAGAGUGGCGAACGGGUGAGUAAUGCAUCGGAACGUGCCCAGUCGUGGGGGAUAACGCAGCGAAAGCUGUGCUAAUACCGCAUACGAUCUAUGGAUGAAAGCGGGGGAUCGCAAGACCUCGCGCGAUUGGAGCGGCCGAUAUCAGAUUAGGUAGUUGGUGGGGUAAAAGCCCACCAAGCCGACGAUCUGUAGCUG
rnacentral:rRNA from 1 species